CAAUAUAAGUGAUGGCGACCGGCGCACGGGUGAGUAACACUAUCCAACCUGCCGAUAACUCGGGGAUAGCCUUUCGAAAGAAAGAUUAAUACCCGAUGGUAUAAUAAAACCGCAUGGUUUAAUUAUUAAAGAAUUUCGGUUAUCGAUGGGGAUGCGUUCCAUUAGGCAGUUGGUGAGGUAACGGCUCACCAAACCUUCGAUGGAUAGGGGUUCUGAGAGGAAGGUCCCCCACAUUGGAACUGAGACACGGUCCAA
rnacentral:rRNA from 1 species